rnacentral:rRNA from 1 species
GAUGAACGCUGGCGGCGUGCCUAAUACAUGCAAGUCGAGCGAACAGACGAGGAGCUUGCUCCUCUGACGUUAGCGGCGGACGGGUGAGUAACACGUGGAUAACCUACCUAUAAGACUGGGAUAACUUCGGGAAACCGGAGCUAAUACCGGAUAAUAUAUUGAACCGCAUGGUUCAAUAGUGAAAGACGGUUUUGCUGUCACUUAUAGAUGGAUCCGCGCCGCAUUAGCUAGUUGGUAAGGUAACGGCUUACCAAGGCAACGAUGCGUAGCCGACCUGAGAGGGUGAUCGGCCACACUGGAACUGAGACACGGUCCAGACUCCUACGGGAGGCAGCAGUAGGGAAUCUUCCGCAAUGGGCGAAAGCCUGACGGAGCAACGCCGCGUGAGUGAUGAAGGUCUUCGGAUCGUAAAACUCUGUUAUUAGGGAAGAGCAAAUGUGUAAGUAGCUAUGCACGUCUUGACGGUACCUAAUCAGAAAGCCAUGGCUAACUACGUG